rnacentral:rRNA from 1 species
AGUGAACGCUGGCGGUAGGCCUAACACAUGCAAGUCGAACGGCAGCACAGUAAGAGCUUGCUCUUACGGGUGGCGAGUGGCGGACGGGUGAGGAAUACAUCGGAAUCUACUUUUUCGUGGGGGAUAACGUAGGGAAACUUACGCUAAUACCGCAUACGACCUACGGGCGAAAGCAGGGGAUCUUCGGACCUUGCGCGAUUGAAUGAGCCGAUGUCGGAUUAGCUAGUUGGCGGGGUAAAGGCCCACCAAGGCGACGAUCCGUAGCUGGUCUGAGAGGAUGAUCAGCCACACUGGAACUGAGACACGGUCCAGACUCCUACGGGAGGCAGCAGUGGGGAAUAUUGGACAAUGGGCGCAAGCCUGAUCCAGCCAUACCGCGUGGGUGAAGAAGGCCUUCGGGUUGUAAAGCCCUUUUGUUGGGAAAGAAAAGCAGCAGGUUAAUACCCCGCUGUUCUGACGGUACCCAAAGAAUAAGCACCGGCUAACUUCGAG